UGCGGGAGCUGGCUUGCCUGCGAUAGCGGUGGGUCAGCCAUUCAUUUGCUUGCUGACACACUGCAAUCGCAGGCAAGCCAGCUCCCACA
rnacentral:antisense_RNA from 1 species